GAUGAACGCUGGCGGCGUGCCUAAUACAUGCAAGUCGAGCGAACAGACGAGGAGCUUGCUCCUCUGACGUUAGCGGCGGACGGGUGAGUAACACGUGGAUAACCUACCUAUAAGACUGGGAUAACUUCGGGAAACCGGAGCUAAUACCGGAUAAUAUAUUGAACCGCAUGGUUCAAUAGUGAAAGACGGUUUUGCUGUCACUUAUAGAUGGAUCCGCGCCGCAUUAGCUAGUUGGUAAGGUAACGGCUUACCAAGGCAACGAUGCGUAGCCGACCUGAGAGGGGAAUAGGCAAAACGGAAAGUGAGAAAGGGACCAAACUCGAAGGGGGGCAGCAGUAGGGAAUCUUCCGCAAUGGGCGAAAGCCUGACGGAGCAACGCCGCGUGAGUGAUGAAGGUCUUCGGAUCGUAAAACUCUGUUAUUAGGGAAGAACAAAUGUGUAAGUAACUAUGCACGUAUUGACGGUACCUAAUCAGAAAGCCACGGCUAACUACGUG
rnacentral:rRNA from 1 species